GGACUGAGACACGGCCCAGACUCCUACGGGAGGCAGCAGUGGGGAAUAUUGCACAAUGGGGGAAACCCUGAUGCAGCAACGCCGCGUGAAGGAAGACGGUUUUCGGAUUGUAAACUUCUGUUCUUAGUGAAGAAUAAUGACGGUAGCUAAGGAGCAAGCCACGGCUAACUACGUGCCAGCAGCCGCGGUAAUACGUAGGUGGCAAGCGUUGUCCGGAAUUACUGGGUGUAAAGGGAGCGUAGGCGGGAUGCCAAGUCAGCUGUGAAAACUAUGGGCUUAACUUGUAGACUGCAGUUGAAACUGGUAUUCUUGAGUGAAGUAGAGGUUGGCGGAAUUCCGAGUGUAGCGGUGAAAUGCGUAGAUAUUCGGAGGAACACCGGUGGCGAAGGCGGCCAACUGGGCUUUAACUGACGCUGAGGCUCGAAAGUGUGGGGAGCAAACAGGAUUAGAUACCCUGGUAGUCCACACUGUAAACGAUGAUAACUAGGUGUGGGGGGUCUGACCCCUUCCGUGCCGCAGCUAACGCAAUAAGUUAUCCACCUGGGGAGUACGACCGCAAGGUUGAAACUCAAAGGAAUUGACGGGGACCCGCACAAGCAGUGGAUUAUGUGGUUUAAUUCGAAGCAACGCGAAGAACCUUACCAGCACUUGACAUCCGACUAACGAAGUAGAGAUACAUUAGGUGCCCUUCGGGGAAAGUCGAGACAGGUGGUGCAUGGUUGUCGUCAGCUCGUGUCGUGAGAUGUUGGGUUAAGUCCCGCAACGAGCGCAACCCCUGCCAUUAGUUGCUACGCAAGAGCACUCUAAUGGGACCGCUACCGACAAGGUGGAGGAAGGUGGGGACGACGUCAAAUCAUCAUGCCCCUUAUGUGCUGGGCUACACACGUAAUACAAUGGCCAUCAACAAAGAGAAGCAAUACCGCGAGGUGGAGCAAAACUAUAAAAAUGGUCUCAGUUCGGACUGCAGGCUGCAACCCGCCUGCACGAAGUUGGAAUUGCUAGUAAUCGUGGAUCAGCAUGCCACGGUGAAUACGUUCCCGGGUCUUGUACACACCGCCCGUCACACCAUGGGAGUUGGUAACACCCGAAGUCAGUAGUCUAACCGCAAGGAGGACGCUGCCGAAGGUGGGAUUGACGACUGGGGUGAAGUCGUAACAAGGUAGCCGUAUCGGAAGGUGCGGCUG
rnacentral:rRNA from 1 species